AAAAAAAAAUGGAAGCCAAAUGCCCGCCAAGCCAAGCUUCUCACACUCACAGCUCUCUGUAUCAUGAGUCGCCGCUUCCCGCAAUUUGUUCCCACCAGAUUCCACCUUCACACCUCUUCAAACUCCAAUUUCUCCUCUUCUCCUCGUCUCCUUCCCAAAGAGCCAAGAAUCCCUAAAUCCCGACUCUCAACCCCGAUUCCACUAGAGAAACUGUUAGCAGAGCACCGAAGAUCUCGCGGCCAAUCCCCUAACCAUGUUGCCGCGGAAAUCUCAUCUCAAGAAUCCAAUCGGGAGCUUGAUUCCGCUUACCACGACCUCGUGUGCCGUUACAAGGGUUCUCGUAACCCUCACGAUGUCGCAAGCCUCCACCUUGAGCUAAUUAAGAAGGGGUUCGUCGGGGAUUUGUUUUUGUCCAACAAUCUGAUCAACCUCUAUGCUAAAGCAGGCAAUCUGGCAUGCGCUUAUCAAGUAUUUGAUGAUAUGCCGGAAAAGAAUGCGGUUUCUUGGACUUGCCUGAUUGCUGGGCACACGCGGCAUGGGCUUCCCGACGAGGCUUGCUAUAUAUUCCGGUUGAUGAUUUUAAAUGGUUUUGAGCCCACUCAGUUCACCUUUGGAAGUGCUCUCCGGGCAUGCCAGGAUUUUGGUCCCGAUCGCCUAAGUCUUGGAACCCAGAUUCAUGGGCUGCUUUCUAAAACCCAGCACUCAUUGGAUACUGUGGUGUGCAAUGCGCUGAUGUCCAUGUAUGGAAGUUGUUGUUUGGGUUAUGCAUUCUAUGCUCAGCAAGUGUUUGAUAGUAUACCAAUCAAGAAUUCCAUAACGUGGAACUGCAUCAUUUCCGUGCACUCUAAUAAAGGGGAUGCGAUGGCUGCCUUUAAGCUCUUUUCAGAUAUGCAAAUGGGAAGUUCUGGGUUUGAUUCCAAACCCAAUGAGUAUACCUAUGGCAGCUUGAUAUCCAUGACAUACUCUUCCUCAUGUGGUAUGUGCCUUCUUGAGCAAAUGCUUGCAAGAGUGUCCAAGUCCGGGUUUUUGAGUGAUCUCUACGUGGGUAGUGCUCUGGUUAGCGCAUUUGCUCGAUUCGGGUUGCUUGAUAGAGCUAAAAAGAUCUUUCUACAAAUGGAUGAGAAGAAUGCUGUAUCUAUGAAUGGGUUGAUGGUGGGCCUAGUAAAGCAGAAUCUUGGACAAGAAGCAGUGGACGUUUUCAGAGAAACAAGGAAUUUGGUCAUGAUAAAUUAUGACUCUUAUGUGGUUCUGAUGAGUGCACUUGCUGAGUUUUCAGUACUGGAAGAAGGGAGAAGAAAGGGGAGGGAGGUUCAUGGACUUGUGGUUAGAGCUGGUCUUAUGGACUCUAAGGUUGCGAUUGGGAAUGGCUUACUUAACAUGUAUGCAAAAUGUGGUGCCAUUGAUGAAGCUUGUAGAGUCUUCAAGCUCAUGACAAUGAAAGAUCAGGUCUCAUGGAAUACAAUGAUCUCUGGCCUUGAUCAGAAUGGUUAUUUUGAAAAGGCUCUGAUGAGCUUCCUAAUGAUGCUACGUAAUGGUAUUAUGCCAUCGAAUUAUGCAAUAAUCAGUGCUUUGAGUUCAUGUGCAAGCCUGCGAGUUUUAAGUGCAGGUGUGCAACUGCAUUGUGAUGGCAUCAAACUUGGAUUUGAUUUGGAUGUUUCUGUUUCAAAUUCACUUCUUGCUAUGUAUGGAGAAUGCGGUGCUUUGUCUGAGUGCUGGAGAGUUUUUAGUUAUAUGCCUGACUAUGAUCAGAUUUCAUGGAAUUCCAUGAUUGGGGCAUUAGCCAGUUCUGAGGCAUCUCUACAGGAAUCUAUAGGGGUCUUCUUAGAUAUGAUGCGAAAUGGAUGGAAACCAAACAGAGUGACAUUCAUGAAUAUUUUUGCCGUUCUAUCUCCACUUUCAGUUCUUGAGUUAGGUAGGCAAGUUCAUGCUCUAGUCCUGAAACAUGGAGUGUCAGAGGACAGUGCUGUGGAAAAUGCCCUUCUGUCUUGUUAUGCUAAGUCUGGAGAGAUCGAUGACUGUGAGCGUCUCUUUUUUAAAAUGUCUGAUAGGAGGGAUGACGUAUCAUGGAAUUCUAUGGUUGCAGGAUAUGUUCAAAAUGGACUUCUGCAAAAGGCCAUGGACUUUGUUUGGUUCAUGAUUCAUAGUGGCCAGCAGAUGGACUGCUUCACGUUGGCAACAGUUCUGAGUGCAUGUGCCUCUGUAGCAGCACUAGAGCGUGGGUUGGAAAUUCAUGCCUUUGGAGUUAGGUGUUAUUUGGUAUCUGAUGUUGUAGUGGAGAGUGCACUUGUUGAUAUGUAUUCCAAGUGUGGAAGAGUAGACUAUGCCUCGAGGGUCUUCAGGUUCAUGAGUUUGAGAAAUGAAUUUUCAUGGAAUUCAAUGAUUUCAGCUUAUGCCCGACAUGGGCUUGGUGAGGAGGCUCUGGAGGUCUUCAAAGAAAUGCAAUGCAGGAAUCAACGACCGGAUCAUGUCACCUAUGUUGGGGUUUUAUCCGCCUGUAGUCAUGCUGGGUUAGUGGAGGAAGGUUUAAAAUACUUCGAAUCUAUGGGUGACUAUGGUUUAGUACCACGGAUGGAGCACUAUUCUUGUAUGAUCGAUCUUUUGGGACGAGCAGGUAAGCUUGAUAAGGUGGAAGAGUUCGUGAAAGGAAUGCCAAUGAGUCCCAAUGUUCUGAUAUGGAGGACAGUUUUAGUUGCUUGUCGUCAAUCAAAAGAUGAUACAAAGACAGAGUUAGCAAAACUAGCAUCAAAAAUGCUAGUGGAAUUAGAACCUCAAAAUCCAGUUAAUUAUGUACUUACUUCUAAUUUCUAUGCAUCCAAAGGGAGAUGGGAAGAUGUAGCAAAAGCACGCGCUGCUAUGCAAAGGGUGACAGUGAAGAAAGAAGCUGGUUGCAGCUGGGUCACCUUUAGGGAUGGAGUUCAUGUUUUUGUAGCUGGAGACAGAUCACACCCAAACACAGAAGAAAUCUAUGCCAAACUACGUGUUCUGAAUCAAAAGAUGAGAGAUGCAGGUUAUGUUCCUCAGACAGAAUUCGCUUUAUAUGAUCUUGACAUGGAGAACAAAGAAGAGUUGUUAAGCCAUCAUAGUGAGAAACUUGCUGUGGCGUUUGUUCUUACCCGCUCUUCAGGAACACCCAUACGUAUCAUGAAGAACCUUCGGGUUUGUGGGGAUUGCCACUCAGCAUUUAGAUAUAUUUCUAAGAUUGCUGGACGAGAAAUAAUUCUACGUGAUUCUAAUAGAUUUCAUCAUUUUGUGGAUGGGAAAUGUUCAUGCGGGGAUUACUGGUGACAGGACCUACUAUUCUCUUAAGUACAAGCUCCUAGGAGUUCUUUUGCCUGGUCUUCCAAAUAGAUCUGAAAAGUAAUGUGGAUGCUCAAAUGGAAAAGUGAGUUUUUAGGGUGCAUUAAGCUGCUUGAGGAAAUAUUAAGCAGCCACAUCUGAUUGUCGCAAGGCCAAGAAAGAGCAAGACUGUCUGAAAUCAAAUGUUAAGCAGCGGAAGAUGGCUGCCGGACUAUAAAGAUAGUGGUCAAGACAAAGAAACCUGCUUAAAAUAGAGAGUUCAAACAGAUAAAUUCGCAGCUAUAGAUGCCGAAUGCCAGCCCUCAUGCAUGGAACAAAUGUCUUCGGAUGACACAUUCAAUUAAAUGAUUCUGGUACACUUUCUGAAUAAUGUGCAUGUCAUGUGAUGGUUUAUUAUCCUGAGCUCAGGCUCAUUUCAUCUGUGAAAGAAAUCAUUUUAUGCAGUGAGCAAGGAAUGAUAACAUGUGGUCUAAAUGAGGAUGAUCUCAUGCAGAACUAACACAGGAAAAUGUAGCAACUUGCACUUAUUCUAACUUCCUAUUUAUAGGCACAAUAGAUGCAAGGUAUAAAUGAUUUAUAUAUGAAAUUUCUUUUCUUUAUGCAGCUGGGACAGGAUGCGAUUUGGCUGUUAGGUUGCUAACAAAUUAUGCAAUGAGUUUGGAUUUCUGUCAAUAGCAAGAGAUCCUUUUCUUUGGUUUGGUAUUUUACUCCUGGAUUGGAACUUCAUCAUCCUCUACUCAAAUUAUGAAGUCAAAUCUGUUAUACUCUAAGUAUCUUCUCUCCCUGUACUUGGCCUAAUAAAUUUUCUAACUGGUAUCUACUGCAUGCUAUUUUUUUGGCUGAAAUAUGUAUAGAUUUUUCAUGCUUAUGACAACAAUGAUACCAACAACCAAGUGCCGCUCCAUCAAGGCGAGGUCUUUUGUCAC